rnacentral:rRNA from 1 species
UACAGAGGGUGCGAGCGUUGUUCGGAAUUAUUGGGCGUAAAGGGCGCGUAGGCGGCGCCACAAGUCACUUGUGAAAACUCUGGGCUCAACUCAGAGCCUGCAAGCGAAACUGUGGUGCUGGAGUAUGGGAGAGGUGCGUGGAAUUCCCGGUGUAGCGGUGAAAUGCGUAGAUAUUGGGAGGAACACCAGUGGCGAAGGCGGCUCACUGGACCGGUACUGACGCUGAGGCGCGAAAGCGUGGGGAGCAAACGGGG